rnacentral:rRNA from 1 species
UACGUAGGGUGCGAGCGUUAAUCGGAAUUACUGGGCGUAAAGCGUGCGCAGGCGGUUCGUUAAGUCAGAUGUGAAAGCCCCGGGCUCAACCUGGGAACUGCAUUUGAAACUGGCGGGCUUGAGUGUGGCAGAGGGGGGUGGAAUUCCGCGUGUAGCAGUGAAAUGCGUAGAGAUGCGGAGGAACACCGAUGGCGAAGGCAGCUCCCUGGGCCAACACUGACGCUCAGGCACGAAAGCGUGGGGAGCAAACAGG